UACGGAGGGUGCAAGCGUUGUCCGGAUUUAUUGGGUUUAAAGGGUGCGUAGGCGGCCAUUUAAGUCUGGGGUGAAAGCCCGUUGCUCAACAACGGAACUGCCCUGGAAACUGGAUGGCUUGAGUACAGACGAGGGUGGCGGAAUGGAUGCUGUAGCGGUGAAAUGCAUAGAUAGCAUCCAGAACCCCCGAUUGCGAAGGCAGACGUGCCUAGACCUGAGUAACU
rnacentral:rRNA from 1 species